rnacentral:rRNA from 1 species
GACGAACGCUGGCGGCGUGCUUAACACAUGCAAGUCGAACGGAAAGGCCCUGCUUUUGUGGGGUGCUCGAGUGGCGAACGGGUGAGUAACAUGUGAGUAACCUGCCCUUGACUUUGGGAUAACUUCAGGAAACUGGGGCUAAUACCGGAUAGGAGCUCCUGCUGCAUGGUGGGGGUUGGAAAGUUUCGGCGGUUGGGGAUGGACUCGCGGCUUAUCAGCUUGUUGGUGGGGUAGUGGCCUACCAAGGGUUUGACGGGUAGCCGGCCUGAGAGGGUGAACGGCCACAUUGGGACUGAGAUACGGCCCAGACUCCUACGGGAGGCAGCAGUGGGGAAUAUUGCACAAUGGGCGGAAGCCUGAUGCAGCAACGCCGCGUGCGGGAUGACGGCCUUCGGGUUGUAAACCGCUUUCGCCUGUGACGAAGCGUGAGUGACGGUAAUAGGUAAAGAAGCACCGGCUAACUACGUG